CAGCAGCCGCGGUAAGACGAACCGUGCAAACGUUACUCGGAAUCACUGGGCUUAAAGCGCACGUAGGCGGCGACAUAAGUUAGAGGUGAAAUCCCAUCGGCUCAACCGUGAAACUGCCUCUAAUACUGUGUUGCUUGAGGGAGAACGGGGCAUUCGGAACUUCCGGUGGAGCGGUGAAAUGUGUUGAUAUCGGAAGGAACGCCGGUGGCGAAAGCGGAAUGCUGGGUCUCUUCUGACGCUGAGGUGCGAAAGCUAGGGUAGCGAACGGGAUUAGAUACCCCCGUAGUCCCUGUCUCUUAUC
rnacentral:rRNA from 1 species